UACAUGGGGUGCAAGCAGUUGCUCGGAAUCAUUGGGCGUAAAGCGCGCGUAGGCGGUUGCUUAAGUCGGAUGUGAAAGCCCUCGGCUUAACUGAGGAAGUGCAUCCGAAACUGAGCAGCUAGAGUACGAAAGAGGGUCGCGGAAUUCCCGGUGUAGAGGUGAAAUUCGUAGAUAUCGGGAGGAACACCGGUGGCGAAGGCGGCGACCUGGGUCGAGACUGACGCUGAGGCGCGAAAGCGUGGGGAGCGAACAGG
rnacentral:rRNA from 1 species